CAGUCGCCGCGGGAAUACGUAGGGUGCAAGCGUUAAUCGGAAUUACUGGGCGUAAAGCGUGCGCAGGCGGUCCGCUAAGACAGAUGUGAAAUCCCCGGGCUUAACCUGGGAACUGCAUUUGUGACUGGCGGGCUAGAGUAUGGCAGAGGGGGGUAGAAUUCCACGUGUAGCAGUGAAAUGCGUAGAGAUGUGGAGGAAUACCGAUGGCGAAGGCAGCCCCCUGGGCCAAUACUGACGCUCAUGCACGAAAGCGUGGGGAGCAAACAGGAUUAGAUACCCGGGUAGUCCCUGUCUCUUAUAC
rnacentral:rRNA from 1 species